GCUAGCGGCCAGGCGACAUGUAAAUGACAUCAACUAAUAUUCUCCGUUGUACGCUGGUGACAGAUUGAGUUAGUGCUGAUCGGUAGAGUAGUUGGUAUGUUGUAAAGGAAAAUGAAAUCGUCGGUCAUUGAACGGUACUGCGGAAAACAGAACGUAUCGACAAAGUGUCCAAGACGGACAGACCAGAAAUAGCAGGUA